rnacentral:rRNA from 1 species
UACGAACGCUGGCGGCGUGCCUAAUACAUGCAAGUCGAACGCAGUGGGGACGGGUGAGUAACCCGUGGGUAACCUCCCAUCAGAGGGGAUAACACUUGGAAACAGGUGCUAAACCGAUACUGAUGGAUGGACCCGCGGUGCAUUAGCUAGUUGGUGAGGUAACGGCUCACCAAGGCCACGAUGCAUAGCCGACCUGAGAGGGUGAUCAGCCAAACGGGGACUGAGACACGGCCCAGACGCCUACGGGAGGCAGCAGUAGGGAAUAUGCGGCAAUGGACGAAAGUCUGACCGAGCAACGCCGCGUGAGUGAAGAAGGUCUUAGGAUCGUAAAACUCUGUUGGUAGAGAAGCGGUAUCUAACGAGAAAGCAACGGCUAACUACGUGCCAGCAGCCGCGGUAAUUC